AUUGAACGCUGGCGGCAUGCCUUACACAUGCAAGUCGAACGGUAACAGGUCUUCGGAUGCUGACGAGUGGCGAACGGGUGAGUAAUACAUCGGAACGUGCCUAGUAGUGGGGGAUAACUACUCGAAAGAGUGGCUAAUACCGCAUGAGAUCUACGGAUGAAAGCAGGGGAUCGCAAGACCUUGUGCUACUAGAGCGGCCGAUGGCAGAUUAGGUAGUUGGUGGGAUAAAAGCUUACCAAGCCGACGAUCUGUAGCUGGUCUGAGAGGACGAUCAGCCACACUGGGACUGAGACACGGCCCAGACUCCUACGGGAGGCAGCAGUGGGGAAUUUUGGACAAUGGGGGCAACCCUGAUCCAGCAACGCCGCGUGAAUGAAGAAGGCCUUCGGGUUGUAAAGUUCUUUUAUUUGGGGGCAAAGGCAUUGUGUUAAUAGCAUGAUGUUAUGAGAGUACCGAAUGAAUAAGCACCGGCUAACUACGUGCCAGCAGCCGCAGUAA
rnacentral:rRNA from 1 species